rnacentral:rRNA from 1 species
CCAAUAGCGUAUAUUAAAGUUGCUGCAGUUAAAAAGCCCGUAGUUGAAUUUCGGGACCAAUAUGUCGGUCGUGCCUCGGUACGUACUGGCAUCGUUGGUUUCUCCCUUCUGACGAACCAUGAUGUCAUUUAUUUGGUGUCGUGGGGAAUCAGGACUGUUACUUUGAAAAAAUUAGAGUGUUUAAAGCAGGCUCACGCUUGAAUACAUUAGCAUGGAAUAAUGAAAUAGGACGUUUGAUUCUAUUUUGUUGGUUUCUAGGAUCGACGUAAUGAUUAAUAGGGAUAGUUGGUGGCAUUAGUAUUCAAUUGUCAGAGGUGAAAUUCUUGGAUUUAUUGAAGACUAACUACUGCGAAAGCAUUUGCCAAGGAUGUUUUCAUUAAUCAAGAACGAAAGUUAGGGGAUCGAAGACGAUCAGAUACCGUCGUAGUCUUAACCAUAAACUAUGCCGACUAGGGAUCGGAUGAUGUUAAUUUUUUAAUGACUCAUUCGGCGCCUUACG